rnacentral:lncRNA from 1 species
GCGCCAAGGCUUCGGGGCAGCCUUUUGGGAUGGGCAGCGUCAGUUUGUUCACGGCCACCCCAUAAGCCACAGCCAGCUCGUCUAUGCCACGGUACGGAACCUCGCCGGUCAGCAGCUCCCACAGCAGCACCCCAUAACUGGGGGGGGGGNCGUCAGUGGGGGGGGUCCUGUACCCCAAAAACCCCCCGAAGACCCCAAAGAUACGGGAUUUCCACCCCAAAAUCCCAAGGUCUGCCCCCCAAACCCCAUUAUUGACCCCAUAAAAGCAGCUCCUGAUGGAACUCAGCCCACCCCACAGCAGCACCCCAUAACUGGGGGGGGGGACACAUCAGUGUGGGGGGGUCCCGUACCCCAAAAACCCCCCGAAGACCCCAAAGAUACGGGAUUUCACCCCAAAAUCCCAAGGUCUGCCACCCAAAGCCCGUAUUUCCCAUGUGACCCCACGUAACCCCAUAUGACCCCAUAUAACCCCACAUGACCCUAUUUGACCCCACGUGACCCCACGUAACCCCAUAUGU